AGAACUGCGCCGCGGAUUCAAGGACCGAAACCAUCGACGCAACAAGAACAAACGGUGGGAAGAGGAAUGCGCGGGGAAAGCUUACCGCGAGACGGCGAUGGGGCCCGGGAUCGAGCGGGCUGCGGCCUGCGGCGAGGCCGCGGGGGUUUUGGUGGAGAGAGGGCGGCAGAGAAGCAGAUGAUUUCGCUCUGGCGUGGCGUUAGUUGAGAUUGUUUGUUUGAUCGGGGGGCUAGUUGAGAUUUGAGAAGCCGUGCGGAGGAUGCGGAAGCCGGGAGGCGGUUGGGUUGAAGCCGGGAGGCGGUUGGGUUGGCUCUCCCAGGUGGACCAAGCCGUAUUUGCAACAUGGGCCGAGCGGUGCGGGCCUUUUUAGUCAGAAAAAGAAAAAUCCGUGGAUUAUUAUGAUCAGAAAUUCGGAAUUUCCCUUGUUUUUUUAGCUUAUCUUAUGUUUGUGCAGGUUAGGGUUAAGGUUGGAGACUUUCCCAAGCUUCUUCGGCGUCAGCUAUGUUGAUGGUGGGCAGGUUC
rnacentral:lncRNA from 1 species